rnacentral:misc_RNA from 1 species
CUGAGAAAGGGCCUUCGGGUCCGACCUCCAACCCUUUGUUUUCUAUCCUUGUUGCUUCGGGGGACGAAGCCGCCUCGUGCGGUGGACGCCCCCGGAGAACCACUAAACUCUGCAUCAUUUGCGUCUGAGUAAUUUUUUAAUAAAUUA